CAACUAUACAAGCUGUAACCAGGACUCCCACAAGAAACAAAUGGGAAAGAAUCUGAAGAAAUACCAAAAAGAUGACAACCUAUCUUCAAGUUGGGAAAAUCCAUGUCCUAAUGUUGUUAUGGCUGAUUAUGGAGGGUUAUGAAGGGUUUUGCUGGACGAAAUUCUUUUUACAUUUUCAGAGGACUGCAUGGGUACUUUGGGUUUGACUAAGUCAACUUUAAAAUGGAAAUCGUGAUUGUGGUAUCAAAGUCAAUGUAUGUAACUGAACUAUAUUUUGGAAGAUGAUGAGGAUAAUCAACAACAUCGAAAUAAACAUUAAGAUCCUGCAUGUAUUAACAUGGCAUUAGACAAAGGUCUAAUGUUACAAUGUUAUACAGAAUGAGUUAGAUGUGGCAAAGAAAUAUCUAUUUUUAGGUUUAUUUUUGCAAAAUAUAAAAAUCAAGGGCAAUGACAUUAUUUUGGGAACAAAAGAACGUUACAACAUCCGAUUGUACGAUUUUACUUUAAAAAUGUUAAUUAUUGUUAAAUAUAUAAUUAUUUUGUUUAUGUUAAUUUUGUAUAAAGAGAAUAGUUUAUAGAGUAAUGUGCUAAACCUUACCGUUACACUAUAAGGCCUACCAAAGGUGUGGACUGUAAGAUUUUAAUGAGUAUAUAAAUGGUGUCCAUAUUGUUACAGAGAAGGUUAGUGUAUCCUUAUGACUAUUUUUAACAUCAGGCAUGAUGUCAUGCUGAACUAGUCAGUAAGCAAGCAUUUAACAUAUAUGGAUAUGGGAGUGACAAGUAUUGCAAAGAGCUUACAAUAGUGUAGAGCACCUUAUUUGGAACAGAGCCAAAAGUAUAUGGUCAGCAGUUUUAAAGGGUAUAAGAAUUAGAGAGAAAUAAUGGUAGAAAGAGUUCAUCUUUGAAAGGGAAACACCAACUAUACAAGCUGUAACCAGGACUCCCACAAGAAACAAAUGGGGUAAUAUUAAUUUAUGUAUUAUUUCUCUGUUAAAUUGUUUUUAUGUGUUUAACCUUGUAAACAGUAACAUGUAAUCUGGUUAUUUAUCUGUUCUUUAAUAAAUGUGUGAUGGUUUAAAUAGUUGAA